GACAGCAACAAGAAGCUGAUACUCGACAUGGUCUAGCAGCUGCUAAAGUUCCCGCUCUCGGCGGAGGAGCGUGACUGUUGGAUGAGCAUAGCGAGGAUAUUGAGUCACUUGCCCGCACCGAUCGCUUCCUUUACGAAAUAUCAAAGAUUCCCCACUACGAGCAAAGGCUGAAGAGUUCACUACUGGAACUGCUUUAUGCCGACAUCAGCACUUCAGGGAGCAAUCAGAAUGGAAGUCAGCUGCAACAACAGCACCAACAGCAACACCCUCAAGCUGAACACACGCACGACGUUGGCCUUCCUGGAGAACGGCAUUACCACGGCAUCUCCAACGGGCAUUACCACGGUCACCCUAUCACCGGCAGCCAUCGAGCGGGACGCGGAGGGCAGGCCUUUGCGUCGAGGCUGUGCCCGUCGAGCAGAAGAUCCAGCAGGAGCUGCAGGACCUCAAGUUGCGCGAGACGGAGCUGAAGCGCCUGCACAAGAAUAACAGGAACAACAUACUGAAGGCUUCGCUGGACAAGCUCCAGCUCAGAACAGACGACGAGGCCAAUGCGGACGACGAUGACGAUUAGGACUCUGUGGUGGAGCACUGCUAUGGACCCG